UCUUGCAAUAUUUUUUAUGUCGUGUUUAAUAUUAUUAUCUUGAAUCUCAAAUCAAAAACGUGAAUUAAUUUGAAUAAAAUCAAAUAUAGUACACUAUUGGGUUGAGAAUCUUUCGAUGCCAUAGAAAUCGUGGUUACAUUUGCGAAAUGUAUCGGGAAAGUGUUAUAUUUCGUGUAAAUCGUUGAAAGUGAUUUAAAUACGACGUGUAGAGUGUGAAGUGCAAUCAAAAGUGCAAAUAUUGGAACAUUGGAUUGAAAUUUGAGAUUCAUGGAUGUCAACAAAGUCUACGGAGAGCACUAUUAAAUGAAAACGAUCGACGAAGACAAAUAUUGCAGUAUUCCGGUUGCUGCGUCAUGAAACGGCAGUUAUCGCUAUCUUUGGACGUAAGAGAGAUCAUGGUACUGAAGUCACGCGAUAGGGCAGCUAUCAUCAUGCCACAACUAUGGGACUGGUUGAAAGUCACGAGACUAGGUAUGCUUAUUAAAUUUUUAUUGUACCACGUAAUAAUAAUAAUAAUAUUAAUAAUAAUAAUCAUGAUCAUCAUCGCAAUAAUAAAUUGUGAUAAUAAUGACAAUAAUAAAUGGUAGUAAUAAUAAUAAUAAUAAUCAUUUAUCGUCGUAAUAAUAAUAGUUUCGUAAUAAUAAUAAUAAUAAUGAUACUUCAUCAUCGUUGGUAAUAAUCCAAUGACAAAUGUCAAUAUUUAUAUAGUAGCGUGUCGAACGGAGAAACGACCUUAAAAAACGAAGACAGUAUCAAUGUUCGUUCGUACAUUUUGUUUUUUUAGCUUCCGCCGUUUUUUUUUCUUCUCGCUCGCUCUCUUAGGAUCUCUCUUCUACCUCUCGCUCUCGCAUCUUCCACACGCGCAUUCUCACUCGACUUCGCUUCCUCUUUUAUUGAAUCUUUUUUUUUCGCUUUUAAUCUCCCCUUUUCUCUCACACACACGCACACUUUCUCCCUCUGUCUCGUCUCUUACACAAUUGAUGCAAAAUGUCCCUACACAGUCCGACGAAUGUGUGUGUGUGCACGGUUUCCCGGUUAUUUUCUCUUUUAAUCAAUCCUCACGAUCGCAUUUUGCUCGACGCUUUCCACAUUUUUUUUCCACCUUUCCUCCUUGAAAUUCGCUCUAGAUUUCUUUUUUUUAAUCUUUUUAAAUCCUCGCACGUGUUGACACAUUCACUCACACUGGUAAAUCGAUUUGGUAGUGGAGGGACCGGGGAGGGGAUGGAGGGCGGAUUGGUUGUGUGAGGGGUGACGGUGGAGUGGUCAGGGUGGGAAUGGGAUAUAUUCGCGGGAUUUGUACCGCACAUAAAGAUGCUGUAAUCAGGCUGAAGUUUGAUGGGGAAAAAGGGGAAGAGGGGAAAAA